UAAAAGUCGUAACAAGGCUUCCGUAGGUGAACCUGCGGAAGGAUCAUUAGUGAAUAUAGGAUGUCCAACUUAACUUGGAGUCCGAACUCUCACUUUCUAACCCUGUGCAUUUGUUUGGGAUAGUAGCCUCUCGGGGUGAACUCCUAUUCACUUAUAAACACAAAAUCUAUGAAUGUAUUUAAUUUAUAACAAAAUAAAACUUUCAACAACGGAUCUCUUGGCUCUCGCAUCGAUGAAGAACGCAGCGAAAUGCGAUAAGUAAUGUGAAUUGCAGAAUUCAGUGAAUCAUCGAAUCUUUGAACGCACCUUGCGCUCCAUGGUAUUCCGUGGAGCAUGCCUGUUUGAGUGUCAUGAAUACUUCAACCCUCCUCUUUUCUAGUGAAAGAGAAGGUGCUUGGUUUCUGAGCGUUUUGCUGGCCUCACGGUCGAGCUCGCUCGUAAUGCAUUAGCAUCCGCAAUCGAACUUCGGAUUGACUUGGCGUAAUAGACUAUUCGCUGAGGAAUUCUAAUCUUCGGAUUAGAGCCGGGUUAGGUUAAAGGAAGCUUCUAAUCCUAAUGUCUAUAUUUUAAGAUUAGAUCUCAAAUCAGGUAGGACUACCCGCUGAACUUAAGCAUAUCAAU
rnacentral:rRNA from 1 species